rnacentral:tRNA from 1 species
GGCGCCAUAGCCAAGUGGUAAGGCAGGGGCCUGCAAAGCCCCGAUUCCCCAGUUCAAGUCUGGGUGGCGCCUCCA